GCGCUGUUCCGGGGUGGCGGCGAUGGCGGCCGAGGGGGAGCCGGCGGACGAGUGGCGGGCGGCGCUGCCGCACCAUGCCGUGCUGUGCCGGCUGCGGGAGCAGAGCGCGGAGAGACCCAGCCCGCCCGGCCCGACCCGCAGCCUGAUCUUCGGGCUGGACGCGGACCUGUUCCUGUGGGACGCGGAGCUCGGCGCCUUCUGCACCCUGAGCCUGCGGGGCCUGAGCGGCGCGGAGCCCGAGGGGCUGGGCCGGUACCAGACCCUGGUCUGCAUAAAUCCACCCCUUUUUGAGGUCUAUGAAACCCUGUUAAGUCCCACCCAGCAUCAUGUGGCGCUCAUAGGCAUUAAAGGGCUGAUGGUACUGGAAUUGCCUAAGCGCUGGGGAAAGAACUCAGAAUUUGAAGGUGGAAAACCAACAGUUAAUUGUAGUACCAUUCCUGUUGCUGAAAGGUUCUUCACUAGUUUGACAUCCCUGACCCUAAAACAUGUGGCCUGGUAUCCCAGUGAGACAUUAGAACCUCAUGUAGUGCUGUUGACUUCAGAUAACACUAUAAGGAUUUACAGUCUGAAGGUGCCGCAGACACCUGUGAAGGUGAUUGCUCUUUCAGAUGCUGAGGAGGAGAGUUUAAUGCUCAAUAAAGGGAGAGCGUACACAGCAUCACUAGGAGAGACUGCAGUGGCAUUUGAUUUUGGGCCUCUGGUAUCUGUUCCAAAGAACAUAGCUGGGCAGCGAGGGAGAGAGGAAGUAUUGGCAUAUCCACUAUACAUAUUGUAUGAAAAUGGGGAGACCUUUCUCACAUAUAUUAGCCUCUUACAAAGCACUGGAAAACUUGGCAAGCUGUUGGGCCCAUUGCCCAUGCACCCCACAGCUGAAGAUAACUAUGGCUAUGAUGCUUGUGCUGUUCUGUGCCUGCCCUGUGUUCCCAACAUCUUGGUGAUUGCCACCGAGUCAGGAAUGCUUUAUCACUGUGUGGUACUGGAGGGAGAAGAGGAUGAUGAGCAAACGUCAGAAAAGUCUUGGGACCCAAGAUCUGACCUCAUCCCUUCUCUGUAUGUGUUUGAAUGUGUUGAAUUGGAACUUGCACUGAAACUGGCAUCAGGAGAAGAGGAAGAGCCUUUAGAAUCUGACUUCUCUUGCCCAAUUAAAUUGUACAGAGAUCCUAAAUGUCCCUCUAGAUAUCACUGUAUACACGAAGCUGGUGUGCACAGUGUUGGACUAACGUGGCUCCACAAACUUCACAAAUUCCUUGGGUCAGAUGAGGAAGACAAGGACAGUUUACAAGAACUUGGAGCAGAACAGAAGUGCUUUGUGGAACAUAUUCUUUGUACAAAGCCAUUGCCAUGCAGGCAACCUGCUCCAAUUAGAGGAUUUUGGAUAGUCUCUGACAUCUUAGGGCCCACAAUGAUCUGCAUCACCAGCACCUAUGAAUGUAUCACGAGGCCUCUUCUAACGACAGUCCAUCCGGCAUCCCCUCCGCUCCUGUGUACCAGAGAGGACACUGAAAUUACGGUCUCACCUCUCCGUAUCCUAGCUAAAUCACAGCAUUCAUUUGAGAAGCAUAUCCGAAGCAUCCUGCAGCGCAGCUCUGCUAACCCAUUGCUUUUGAAGUGUGCUGACAAAGAUGCAUCUCCUCCCCCAGAGGAAUGUCUUCAGCUCCUAAGCAGAGCCACACAAGUGUUCAGAGAAGAAUAUAUUCUGAAACAGGAUCUGGCAAAAGAGGAGAUCCAGCAAAGAGUGAAAUUGCUGAGGGCACAGAAAAAUAAACAACUGGAAGAUCUUCAGUACUGUCAAGAGGAAAGGAACAGCCUGCGGGAAAUGGCCGAGCGCUUGGCUGAGAAGUAUGAGGAAGCUAAAGAAAAACAAGACGAUAUUAUGAAUAGGAUGAAGAAAGUGCUUCGCAGUUUUCACUCUCAGCUUCCAGUUCUGUCAGAUAGCGAGAGAGACAUGAAGAAAGAAUUACAGGCAAUACAUGAUCAACUGCAGCACUUAGGAAAUGCUAUCAAACAGGUGAAAAUGAAAAAGGAUUAUCAGCAGAGAAAGAUGGAAAAGGGGAUCAAUCCACGAAAACCUACCAUAACCCUCAGUGCCUACCAAAGCAAGUGCAUCCAGACAGUUCUGAAAGAAGAAGCUUGUAUCGAACUCAUCAGUCCACAGAAAAAAGAAGUGCAUCCAGACCCCGCAGCGGCAAGGAGAGGAAAGGAAAUAACUCUUGCCAACUAUCAAGGAGAAACUAAAAUCCUCAUACAUUAUACAGCAGGGCUUGUAUUACACACAGUGGAGCCAGCACAUAAAACACUGACUAGUUAUUCUACCAAUCGUUCAGUAUGUCAGAGUGGGCACGCUCAUUCCUACAGAAGAGGCGAAUAGCUGUGGGACUGGAGUGACAUAACAAGGACAGUCCAGCCACAGGAAACACAGGCAGAAGCCUGUGACAAACAUAACCAUACAAACAAAGCUGGAAUCAGGAAGACAGUGGCAAGUGACAUAGUAACAGUGACUACUUUUUACUGUAGCUCUUUGGAGCUACAUGAAUAUUUUGAAACAAGAACUGUGUACAUUUUCACUAUGGAAAUUGAGCCGAUGCAUUUUCAAAGCAGUGCAAGGAUUUGUAAAAGGACGACAGCAAGUAAAAAGCAGUUUUACAGAGAAUGUUAGCUUAGUUGUCUCUUAUUUGUACUGCCUAGUCCUACAGAAACAAGUAGGAGAAAGUGUUAACAACCCACUCUGCCCAUCCAUGGGGACCACCUCCAGCAAGCAACAUGCUGAGUUCUUUUAUUGGGCGCUCAAAGAUUCUUGAUUUUGUUUACUAGCUAAACUAGGAAACGUGACUUAAAAAUAAAAGUUUAUAAAUUGUAAGCGACUCUUUACGGAACAGUUGGUACACGAAGUUAAAGGAUAAAGGACUGAACCUUAGUAUACCCCUGAUGAGAGAUCUGGCUGGAUGGAUAAGAAACUGCAAUGCAAACUGAACCAUGCUCCAUUGCAUGAAAGAUUACCCAAAAAUCCCUGCAAGAUUCUGCUUCCCCUCUAGCAGAGGGCUGAUAACCCUCAGAAAACAGAGCAAGUAAAAGAGGCGGUUUCAGCAAUAAUGAGAUAGAACCAGCAUCUCCCACUAAAAACCACCAUGCUAGUAGUAUUCCCUAUCAAAUAAAAACCUCACUAUGGUACUUGUAUGAGGGGAAUUGAAAAACACUAUUUCUUUUGUUUAUCAUUUUUACAC